GAUGAACGCUGGCGGCGUGCCUAAUACAUGCAAGUCGAGCGAACAGACGAGGAGCUUGCUCCUCUGACGUUAGCGGCGGACGGGUGAGUAACACGUGGAUAACCUACCUAUAAGACUGGGAUAACUUCGGGAAACCGGAGCUAAUACCGGAUAAUAUAUUGAACCGCAUGGUUCAAUAGUGAAAGACGGUUUUGCUGUCACUUAUAGAUGGAUCCGCGCCGCAUUAGCUAGUUGGUAAGGUAACGGCUUACCAAGGCAACGAUGCGUAGCCGACCUGAGAGGGUGAUCGGCCACACUGGAACUGAGACACGGUCCAGACUCCUACGGGAGGCAGCAGUAGGGAAUCUUCCGCAAUGGGCGAAAGCCUGAAGGAGCAACGCCGCGUGAGUGAUGAAGGUCUUCGGAUCGUAAAACUCUGUUAUUAGGGAAGAACAAAUGUGUAAGUAACUAUGCACGUCUUGACGGUACCUAAUCAGAAAGCCACGGCUAACUACGU
rnacentral:rRNA from 1 species